CCUACGGGGGGCAGCAGUGAGGAAUAUUGGUCAAUGGACGAGAGUCUGAACCAGCCAAGUAGCGUGAAGGAUGACUGCCCUAUGGGUUGUAAACUUCUUUUAUAUGGGAAUAAAAUGUUCCACGUGUGGGAUUUUGUAUGUACCAUAUGAAUAAGGAUCGGCUAACUCCGUGCCAGCAGCCGCGGUAAUACGGAGGAUCCGAGCGUUAUCCGGAUUUAUUGGGUUUAAAGGGAGCGUAGGUGGAUUGUUAAGUCAGUUGUGAAAGUUUGCGGCUCAACCGUAAAAUUGCAGUUGAAACUGGCAGUCUUGAGUACAGUAGAGGGGGGCGGAAUGCGUGGUGUAGCGGUGAAAUGCUUAGAUAUCACGAAGAACUCCGAUUGCGAAGGCAGUUCACUGGACUGCAACUGAAACUGAGGCUCGAAAGUGUGGGUAUCAAACAGGAUUAGAUACCCCUGUAGUC
rnacentral:rRNA from 1 species